rnacentral:rRNA from 1 species
UCGGCAAGCAUGCUUGUCGGUGUCACACCUAACGGAUUAAGCAUUCCGCCUGGGGAGUACGGUCGCAAGAUUAAAACUCAAAUGAAUUGACGGGGGCCCGCACAAGCGGUGGAGCAUGUGGUUUAAUUCGACGCAACGCGAAGAACCUUACCUGGCCUUGACAUCCUGCGAACUUUCUAGAGAUAGAUUGGUGCCUUCGGGAGCGCAGUGACAGGUGCUGCAUGGCCGUCGUCAGCUCGUGUCGUGAGAUGUUGGGUUAAGUCCCGUAACGAGCGCAACCCCUGUCCUUAGUUGCCAGCGAUCGUCGGGAACUCUAAGGAGACUGCCGGUGACAAACCGGAGGAAGGUGGGGAUGACGUCAGGUCAUCAUGGCCCUUACGGCCAGGGCUACACACGUGCUACAAUGGGCAGUACAGAGGGUUGCGAAGCCGCGAGGUGGUGCUAAUCCCUUAAAACUGCUCGUAGUCCGGAUUGGAGUCUGCAACUCGACUCCAUGAAGUCGGAAUCGCUAGUAAUCGCGGAUCAGAUGCCGCGGUGAAUACGUUCCCGGGCCUUGUACACACCGCCCGUCACACCAUGGGAGUGGGCUGCACCAGAAGUAGAUAGCUUAACCUUCGGGAGGGCGUUUACCACGGUGUGGUUCAUGACUGGGGUG